rnacentral:tRNA from 1 species
UGGAAGGUGGCUCAAUGGUAGAGUGCUUGCCUUGCAUGCAUGAGGCCCUGGGUUCGAUUCCUCAGUGGCUCAA